GAUGAACGCUGGCGGCGUGCCUAAUACAUGCAAGUCGAGCGAACAGACGAGGAGCUUGCUCCUCUGACGUUAGCGGCGGACGGGUGAGUAACACGUGGAUAACCUACCUAUAAGACUGGGAUAACUUCGGGAAACCGGAGCUAAUACCGGAUAAUAUAUUGAACCGCAUGGUUCAAUAGUGAAAGACGGUUUUGCUGUCACUUAUAGAUGGAUCCGCGCCGCAUUAGCUAGUUGGUAAGGUAACGGCUUACCAAGGCGACGAUGCGUAGCCGACCUGAGAGGGUGAUAGGCCACACUGGAACUGAGACACGGUCCAGACUCCUACGGGAGGCAGCAGUAGGGAAUCUUCCGCAAUGGGCGAAAGCCUGACAGAGCAACGCCGCGUGAGUGAUGAAGGUCUUCGGAUCGUAAAACUCUGUUAUUAGGGAAGAACAAAUGUGUAAGUAACUAUGCACGUCUUGACGGUACCUAAUCAGAAAGCCACGGCUAACUACGUG
rnacentral:rRNA from 1 species